rnacentral:lncRNA from 1 species
AAUAUUCUUGUCUCCUCUAUCUUCACUUAUCCAUUGUUUUUCAUGAAAUCUAUGUAAGAAAUAUGUCUCUUGUGACAUGAAUGGAUAUAUCAUUUCAUUGUUUCAUGACAUAACUUUUGGAUGAAGAGUCAUCAAUGAAAUGUUAAGACUGCCUAUAUAUAGUGCUUGAUGGAAGCACUAUACUAACAAGAAAAGGACCAUAAACAUUGUCCCUAUCUCUGCCCAUAAAGAUUGCUCCAUCAGCCAUCAGUUAAGGAAGAGCAUAGUAAGAACGGGAAGGAGAUAGAAAAGUUACUCUAUAAACCAAGAACACCAAACAACAACUAAAUGGAGGAUCGUAUCGCCAUGGG